AUUGAACGCUGGCGGCAUGCUUUACACAUGCAAGUCGAACGGCAGCGCGGGCUUCGGCCUGGCGGCGAGUGGCGAACGGGUGAGUAAUGCAUCGGAACGUGCCCAGUAGUGGGGGAUAGCCCGGCGAAAGCCGGAUUAAUACCGCAUACGACCUGAGGGUGAAAGCGGGGGACCGAAAGUCCUCGCGCUAUUGGAGCGGCCGAUGUCGGAUUAGCUAGUUGGUGGGGUAAAGGCUUACCAAGGCGACGAUCCGUAGCUGGUCUGAGAGGACGACCAGCCAACGUGGGACUGGGACAGGGCCAGACUCCUACGGGAGGCAGCAGUGGGGAAUUUUGGACAAUGGGGGCAACCCUGAUCCAGCCAUGCCGCGUGCGGGAAGAAGGCCUUCGGGUUGUAAACCGCUUUUGUUCGGGAAGAAAUCCUCUGGGCUAAUACCCCGGGGGGAUGACGGUACCGGAAGAAUAAGCACCGGCUAACUACGUG
rnacentral:rRNA from 1 species